CCCGGUGCGAAUCCGGGACGGUCCCGCCACUGUGACUGGUCUGUCGGCCAGGAGUCAGA
rnacentral:ncRNA from 1 species